GCGCGCAGGUGGUUCUUUAAGUCUGAUGUGAAAGCCCACGGCUCAACCGUGGAGGGUCAUUGGAAACUGGGGAACUUGAGUGCAGAAGAGGAAAGUGGAAUUCCAAGUGUAGCGGUGAAAUGCGUAGAGAUUUGGAGGAACACCAGUGGCGAAGGCGACUUUCUGGUCUGUAACUGACACUGAGGCGCGAAAGCGUGGGGAGCAAACAGGAUUAGAUACCCUGGUAGUCCACGCCGUAAACGAUGAGUGCUAAGUGUUAGAGGGUUUCCGCCCUUUAGUGCUGCAGCUAACGCAUUAAGCACUCCGCCUGGGGAGUACGGCCGCAAGGCUGAAACUCAAAGAAAUUGACGGA
rnacentral:rRNA from 1 species